CGACGCUCGUUAGGCCCGUACGCGCCUUACGGACGACGUCGACUAAAUAAUAAAAAAAAUAUUAUUUAGUCGACGUCGUCCGUAAGGCGCGUACGGGCCUAACGAGCGUCGAAACUAAGUCCGUCGUUGCCCGUUAGGCCCGUACGCGCCUUACGGAGGACGUCGACUAAAUAAUAAAAAAAAUAUUAUUUAGUCGACGUCGUCCGUAAGGCGCGUACGGGCCUAACGAGCGUCGAAACUAAGCCCGUCGUUAAAAUUUUAACGACGGGCUUAGUUUCGACGCUCGUUAGGCCCGUACGCGCCUUACGGACGACGUCGACUAAAUAAUAAAAAAAUAUUAUUUAGUCGACGUCGUCCGUAAGGCGCGUACGGGCCUAACGAGCGUCGAAACUAAGUCCGUCGUUGCCCGUUAGGCCCGUACGCGCCUUACGGAGGACGUCGACUAAAUAAUAAAAAAAAUAUUAUUUAGUCGACGUCGUCCGUAAGGCGCGUACGGGCCUAACGAGCGUCGAAACUAAGUCCGUCGUUGCCCGUUAGGCCCGUACGCGCCUUACGGAGGACGUCGACUAAAUAAUAAAAAAAAUAUUAUUUAGUCGACGUCGUCCGUAAGGCGCGUACGGGCCUAACGAGCGUCGAAACUAAACCCGUCGUUAAAAUUUUAACGACGGGCUUAGUUUCGACGCUCGUUAGGCCCGUACGCGCCUUACGGACGACGUCGACUAAAUAAUAAAAAAAAUAUUAUUUAGUCGACGUCGUCCGUAAGGCGCGUACGGGCCUAACGAGCGUCGAAACUAAGUCCGUCGUUGCCCGUUAGGCCCGUACGCGCCUUACGGAUGAUAAAUUUACAAAAAUGGUCCCUGAGGUUUGAUGUGUUUACAAAAUCGGUCCCUGAGGUUUGAUGAAUUUACAAAAAUGGUCCCUGGUGUUUCCAGGAUUUAUCAGCCGUAAGGCGCGUACGGGCCUAACGGGCAACGACGGACUUAGUUUCGACGCUCGUUAGGCCCGUACGCGCCUUACGGACGACGUCGACUAAAUAAUAUUUUUUUUAUUAUUUAGUCGACGUCGUCCGUAAGGCGCGUACGGGCCUAACGAGCGUCGAAACUAAGCCCGUCGUUAAAAUUUUAACGACGGGUUUAGUUUCGACGCUCGUUAGGCCCGUACGCGCCUUACGGACGACGUCGACUAAAUAAUAUUUUUUUUAUUAUUUAGUCGACGUCGUCCGUAAGGCGCGUACGGGCCUAACGGGCAACGACGGACUUAGUUUCGACGCUCGUUAGGCCCGUACGCGCCUUACGGACGACGUCGACUAAAUAAUAUUUUUUUUAUUAUUUAGUCGACGUCGUCCGUAAGGCGCGUACGGGCCUAACGAGCGUCGAAACUAAGCCCGUCGUUAAAAUUUUAACGACGGGUUUAGUUUCGACGCUCGUUAGGCCCGUACGCGCCUUACGGACGACGUCGACUAAAUAAUAUUUUUUUUAUUAUUUAGUCGACGUCGUCCGUAAGGCGCGUACGGGCCUAACGGGCAACGACGGACUUAGUUUCGACGCUCGUUAGGCCCGUACGCGCCUUACGGACGACGUCGACU
rnacentral:lncRNA from 1 species